rnacentral:lncRNA from 1 species
CUCCCGCCAGCUCUCAUCCGCCCUUUCCUUCGCGGCCUCUGUCGAGGCUGCUGUGUCCUGCGGAGCUCCGAGCACAUGCUGUGCCCAGCUGCUGGUUUCAGAAGAUGGCUGCCCUGGAUGACUUGAAAGUAAGGUGGUCUUUGGCCCCCUGAAGGAAGUAAUGACUCACAAAAGUACAAGUAUAGUUCUGGGUAAGUGUCUAUUCUAGCGUUGACUGCCUCUGCCAGGAGCACUACUUGGUACACAUCAGGAAACAAUUGGAAAACAAAUUGACUCUUGGCAGUGACUGUUGAACUCUGGUAUUUUUGUUUGAAGGUAUAAAGGAUUUUGGUGUCUGUCAUUCCAACUAGGGAAUGAUAUAUAGUUAUUGUGAAUCCCGGGAAGCAAAAGGAAUGUUUUUUGACUAAGACUAAGAUGAACUGAAAGCACACAUG